CACGUAGGGCGCAAGCGUUGUCCGGAAUUAUUGGGCGUAAAGAGCUCGUAGGCGGUCUGUUACGCCUGCUGUGAAAACCCAGGGCUUAACCCUGGGCUUGCAGUGGAUACGGGCAGACUAGAGGCAGGUAGGGGAGAAUGGAAUUCCCGGUGUAGCGGUGAAAUGCGCAGAUAUCGGGAGGAACACCGGUGGCGAAGGCGGUUCUCUGGGCCUGACCUGACGCUGAGGAGCGAAAGCGUGGGGAGCGAACAGG
rnacentral:rRNA from 1 species